rfam:Dictyostelium discoideum AX4 chromosome 6, whole genome shotgun sequence.
GCCCGGCUAGCUCAGUCGGUAGAGCGCCAGACUCUUAAUCUGGUGGUCGGGGGUUCGAGCCCCCCGUUGGGCG